rnacentral:rRNA from 1 species
UACGAAGGGGGCUAGCGUUGUUCGGAAUUACUGGGCGUAAAGGGUGCGUAGGCGGGUCUUUAAGUCAGGGGUGAAAUCCUGGAGCUCAACUCCAGAACUGCCUUUGAUACUGAGGAUCUUGAGUACGGGAGAGGUGAGUGGAACUGCGAGUGUAGAGGUGAAAUUCGUAGAUAUUCGCAAGAACACCAGUGGCGAAGGCGGCUCACUGGCCCGUUACUGACGCUGAGGCACGAAAGCGUGGGGAGCAAACAGG